GCCUGUUUGGCUCAGUGGUUGAGCAUCUGCCUUAGGCUCAGGGUGUGAUCCUGGGGUCGUGGGAUGGAGUCCUGCAUCAGGUU
rnacentral:tRNA from 1 species